rnacentral:rRNA from 1 species
UACGUAGGGGGCGAGCGUUGUCCGGAAUGACUGGGCGUAAAGCGCGCGCAGGCGGUUUCUUGCGUCUGAGGUGAAAGACGAUGGCUCAACCAUCGCAAUGCCUUGGAAACGGGGGAACUUGAGGGUCGGAGAGGCAAGGGGAAUUCCACGUGUAGCGGUGAAAUGCGUAGAGAUGUGGAGGAAUACCAGUGGCGAAGGCGCCUUGCUGGACGAAACCUGACGCUGAGGCGCGAAGGCAUGGGGAGCAAACAGG